CUGUUUCACGAUAACUUUCGCACAUGCGCAUAACUACUUCCGCAGGGCAAAGCUAUAUUUAACUAACGCCUUUUAUCGUACGAAGUACAUAUUUCAAGAGAGGAGAAUAAAUGGUUUCUAUGUGAAAGUGUAUGUGUUUUACCUUUGAUAUGUAUUUUGGGGUUCCGAUGUUGCGUUCUGAUAACAAUUAAGUAAUAUAUUUUUAGAAAUAUACUUUAAAAAUGUGCAUUGAACUUGCUACCCCAUAGGUAUACACGGGAACUUCCGUGUUUACAUUGACAACAAAAAUGGCAAACCGGGAGAUUUCUAACACAAAAAGAUGAAAACCGUCAAUGUUCUUAUGGCUGAAAUACAGAUAAAGUUAAAAAUGUAUGCAUGUGGAGGAGUCAUCCCAGAUAUUUCAGGCAAUGACCCCCACCCCCACACACUGUACUUCAUAUUUAACACUAUUGUCUGAUGCCACACUCAUAUUGUCGUUUAAAGAAAUUUAUAGACACAUGAUUUUGAGACUAACGGAAGAAGGGGAACGGAUAGAAAACCACAGAAGACUAGAAAAGGUGGUACAACACUUUGAAGCUGGUGAUUUGUCACAAAUAAUGACAGUACAGAUAUGAAUCCUUGGAGUACAUCUGACAGAAUAUUCUGUUUGGCUUCAAUGAAGAAUGAAGAAAACCAGUCUAGCACAGUCCUGCAGUCAUGCACCAAACUGAGUAAUGAAUGGGAGGUGGAGUUCAGGGAGAGGAAAAUAAUCAACAAUAUGUCAUCCUCCUAAUAAAAAAUCUUGAUCUGGCUAGCUCCAUGCAGCAUUGAAAGCUGCUAAAAGAGUUGUUUCCCAAAACUGAUGUGGAAUAUCACUGGCAAAGCUCCUGACAUUAUGGACAGUGAGGUAAAAAUUGGUGUGACUGAGAAUCCUGUAGAGAAAAAAAAAAGAAGAUGAAAGCUCUGGUCUUAUCUGAAGAAAAGUCUGUUUACAAGAAUGAAAAAGACAGAAUUUGAUGAACAAGACUGCUUGAUUUCUAAACAAAUAUUUCUUUAUAAUCUAAAAUAACUCUUAAUUUGGUAAAAAAUAAAACACAGACAUGUUCCUUUGAAUAGGUUCCAACUGACACUCCUAAACAUGCAUUGUAAUUACUUUAUCUGUUUCCUAAAGUCUCUAGCCUAACAUUUCAUAUUUUGAACAGUAUGAUAGUUAUGUAUAAAUCCUACAUGUACAGUAUGAAACUUUUCUAAUUAGUUUUGCAAAAAACUGUUUUAAAAAAUUAAAAAAUUCCAUGACAAUGCUACAAAUUCAAACACCAUCUGUUCACACUUAGGCACCAGGUAGCUGCAGAUAUAAAUUCAACAAGAUAUGUUUCAGAAACAUGUAUGUUCCACAUGGUACAAAAUUGAUCAGGGUUAUAUAUCAUUUAUGUACUUUAUGUUCUUCAGAUAGUGUAGAAGAUGAAUGUCACUUUUUACUUCAUUGUUCCUCUUAUUCAAAUCGUAGAGUAAUCCUUUUUACCAGUAUCGGAUUUAACCCCACUGUGAUCAAUAUGUCAGAUUUAGACAAAACAAAAUUUCUAUUAUUAAAUUUUCCAACACAAACUGCAAAAUUCCUGUUCUCCGCAUACACCUACAGACAGUCUAUCAUAUACCAUGAUAGUAAAAGUCAUGCGUAAUACAUGUACCACUGUAUUUAUUAUUUAAUUGGUUUUUUCUGUUAAAAGUGACAUAUAGGCCCGAUGGGCCGGGUGUUUAAAUUCCUAUUAUUCUGUUAAAUGUAUUUUUCAAUUCUGUAAUGUAUAAAACACAUGUCACUAUAAUAAAUCAUUUACUUGCUUACUUACUUAUUAAUUGUAGUGACAAAACCAUUUGAGAUAUUGAGCAGACAAUGUCUUCCUAUAUCCAGACAAUGUCUUCCUAUAUCCAGAGUGGAUUGACCUUUGACCAUCUGACCUCAACAUUAAUAGAGUUAUCAACUCUCUAAGAUGUACCUGUUCUCAAAGUUUGAUAUUUGCCAAGUCAAACAUUCUUGAGAUAUUGAGCGGAUAAGACUUGGUCUACAGACUGAUAGAUUGACAGACAGACCGACAAAUGAAAAACAAUAUGCCCCAUCUUUUUUCUUUUUGAAAGGGAAUAUUUGUAUGUAGAUGUAAAUGGACAUAAUGUAAAAUUUUAAAAUGAUCACAUUUUAUUACAAAUAGAUACAAAAGUCAUACAUGGAUAAGAUAAUAAUUAAUUUCUAAUUAUAUUUCUUCAAAGAAUGGAGCUAAUUGACUAAAAUAAUAUACAAUUUCACCUGAUUUUGGGGUAGUUUAUACAUAGUAAAAGUUGUAGGCAUAAAACAUUCAGAACAACUGGAUCCUGCAUGUACAUGUGUAUUCUAUUUGCAUAUUGUAUUUACUAAACUCUUAUACUGAUAUUGAUUACCAUUUCAUAUGUAUUCACAAAACAUUAUCAUUAUCCACUGUCUCUGAAACUGGCACUGCCCUUAGAUGUGUGAAGCAAUUCGGUUAUUUAUUAUUGUAUAUUUCAUUUUGUUAAUUCAAAUCUUGUCUCGGUCAGUAUUUCAUAUAAAAUUAUGAUAUGUGCAGUGCAGAAAUGUGAAAUCUGACAGAAUUAGUACUCUGAAUGAUUGUUAUUUAUUUAUAUUGUUAUAACUAAUUGCUACUUAAACUGUACAUGUCUCUCAAGGGCUCUUGAUUGGUGAAUAAACAUUUAUAUAUAUGUAGAUAAAAUAUGUGUGUUGCAUAAUGAAAAAUCAAGUAAUAAGUUAAUAAUUUGAAUUUCUUCAGCUUUUCUAAAUCACUUACUUGAAUUACUGUAUUAUGAUAAACAAAAGUACAGAAUCAUUAAAUUAUAAUCAGAUGCUAAUUUGAAUCAUGACAUUCUUGAAUAUUUGCAUAUGUACAUGUAUUAUCCAUCAAAUGAAAUAUUUUUAUAAAUU